rnacentral:rRNA from 1 species
AACGCGAAGAACCUUACCAGGCGUUUGAGCAUGCAUUUAGCACCAGCCAGAGAUGGCUGUCCCUUCGGGGCGUAUGCACAUUGUGCUGCAUGGCUGUCGUUUUGCUCGUGCCGUGAGGUGUUGGGUUAAGUCCCGCAACGAGCGCAACUCCUGUUGCCGGUUAGGAUGUCCGGCGAGACUGCCACGCUAAACGUGGAGGAAGGUGGGGAUGACGUCAAGUCAGCACGGCCCUUACGUCCUGGGCGACACACACGCUACAGAUGGUCGAGACUACGGGUUGCGAACUCGCGAGGGGGAGCUAAUCCUAACAAACUCGGUCUCAGUUCGGAUUGCAGGCUGCAACUCGCCUGCAUGAAGCCGGAGUUGCUAGUAACCGUGGGUCAGCACACCACGGUGAAUACGUUCCCGGGUCUUGUUUCCACCG